rnacentral:lncRNA from 1 species
GUGUCGAUAAACCCAAAUCAUGUAUGUGACGCUGUACUUAUAGUUAAAGGUUACUCUGGGGAUGUAGCUAUGUAUCAUGACCCAGCAGCUCUUUGGCUUGUCUGUUUCUUGUCAGAAGGUCUGAUGUCCAGACUCUGUGCUCUUCCAUGUAUGGUCCAGUGGAACUCUCCUUGACCAUUAGAUGGACUACAAACAGUUCCAGCAGUUACUGCGACCGCACCUCACAACUCCCUUCCCUUGACCCUUGACCCCUUAGCUUUAAACCCUCACCCCUGACCCAUACUCUUAACCUCUUGCCCCUCACUCCUCCUAAUCCUUAACCUUACUCCCCCUCUCCCCUCCCUCCCUCCCUCCCUUCCUUCCUCUCAUCUCUUGUCCUCUCCCGUCCUGU